CUGCGGAAGGAUCAUUACUGAGUGAGGGCCCUCUGGGUCCAACCUCCCACCCGUGUUUAUUGUACCUUGUUGCUUCGGUGCGCCCGCCUCACGGCCGCCGGGGGGCUUCUGCCCCCGGGUCCGCGCGCACCGGAGACACUAUUGAACUCUGUCUGAAGAUUGCAGUCUGAGCAUAAACUAAAUAAGUUAAAACUUUCAACAACGGAUCUCUUGGUUCCGGCAUCGAUGAAGAACGCAGCGAAAUGCGAUAACUAAUGUGAAUUGCAGAAUUCAGUGAAUCAUCGAGUCUUUGAACGCACAUUGCGCCCCCUGGUAUUCCGGGGGGCAUGCCUGUCCGAGCGUCAUUGCUGCCCUCAAGCACGGCUUGUGUGUUGGGCUCCGUCCCCCCGGGGACGGGUCCGAAAGGCAGCGGCGGCACCGAGUCCGGUCCUCGAGCGUAUGGGGCUUUGUCACCCGCUCUGUAGGCCCGGCCGGCGCCAGCCGACAACCAAUCAUCCUUUUUUCAGGUUGACCUCGGAUCAGGUAGGGAUACCCGCUGAACUUAAGCAUAUCAUAA
rnacentral:rRNA from 1 species